CCAAAAUACAUUUAUACUUUUAUAUUACCUAUAUAUUUACCUUUACCAGUACUCUUUAUUUGAGUAUUCAUGAGCAUUUGAGUCUAGUUUCAUUUUACCCUAAAGGAUUCAUUCUCCUUUUAUAUUUCUUGUAGGGCAAGUCUGGUGAAGACAGAUUAUCACAAUGUUUGUUUAUAUGGGAGUGUCUUCAUUUCUUGUUUUUGAAGGACAGUUUUUCUGGAUACAGAAUUCUUGAUUGAGGCUGGGCACAGUAGCCCACACCUUAAUCCCAGCACUUUGGGAGGCCAAGGUGGGAGGACUGCUUAAGACUAGGAGUUUAAGACCAGCCUGGGCAAGACAGCAAGACCCCCUGUCUCUUAAAAAAUUUUUUUUUUUGAGUGUGGUGGCACAUGCUGGUAGUCCUAUUUGAGAGGCUGAGGAAAGAGAAUUGCUUGAGCCCAGGAGUUUGAAGCUACAGUGAGCUAUGAUUGCACCACUGCAAAAAUAAUUCUUGGUUGAUAGUCUUUUUCAUUCAGCACUUUGAAUAUGUCAUCUCACUGCUUUCAGGCCUGCAUUGUUUCUUAAGAGAAGUCACUUCUUAGCUUUACUUGCUUCUUUCGUUUGAGAUCUCUUUUUCAACAAUUUGACCAUGAUGCAUCUAAAUGUGAAUCCCUUUGAGUUUACCCUACUUGGAGUUUGUUCAAUUUCUUGGAUACGAAGAUUAAUGUUUUCAUAAAAUUUGGGAAGUUUUGGGCUACUAUUUCUUCAAAUAGUCUUUCUGCUCCUUUCUCUCUCUCUCUCUUCUGGGAUUCUCAUUAUGAUUGGUAUACUUGGCAUUUUGGUACACUUGAUAGUGUCUCAAAGGUCUCUGAAGCUCUCUUCAUUUUUCUUCAUUCUUCUGUCUAUUCCUCAGACUGUAUAAUCUCAAUUGACCGGUCUUUGAACUCACUGAUUCUUUCUUCUGCCAGUUCAAAUUUGCUGUUGACCCCCAUCUAGUGAAUUUUUAUUUCCAUUACUGUAUUUCUCAACUCCAGAAUAUCUAUUUGAUUCUUUUUUAUAAUGUUUGUCUCCUUACUGAUAGUCCUGAUAAUUUGGUGAAACAUCAUUCUCAUAAUUUCCUUUAAUUCUUUAGACUUUGUUUCUGUUAGUUCCUUGAACAUGUUUAUAAUAGCUGAUAUCUAAAGUCUUUGCCUAGUAAGUCUAACAUCUGGGCUUCCUCAUAGAUUGUUUCUAUUGACUGUUUUUUAAAUUGCUGUUUAUGGCAUGGGUCAGAUGUUCCUGUUCUUUGUGUGUCUUGUUUUAAAUACUCUAUCAAUUAUUGAAGUCAGAUUACCUACUCUCCAGGGCUUGCACCUGUUACUAUUUCUUAUUGUUGCUGCUGUUGGUUUGUUCUGUGUCUUUCCUGGACUAAUUCUGCAAAUUCUAUAUGCUUUGUCAUGUUUGGUUCCUGAAGUCUCUACUCAGCCUAGUGGGUAAGCGAAUAAUUGGACAGAUAUUUCUUUCUAAUGCCUUGAACCAAUAAAUUUUCUAGCUUUUGUCAAGUGUGUGCAUGUGUGUGUAUUUGUGGAGUCAUGUCAUUGAUGUGUCAGCAGACAGUUUACAACUGCCUUUAUCUUCAUUUCUGGCAUGAAUUGAGUUUCAAGGUCAGUCAGAGAUGAGAGCUUAGGACCCUCUCAGGACAUGCAUACAUCCCUGCACAUGCACAUGGACUUCUAGAUUCCCAGGAAUAUGCUUGAGCUUGUCAAAGCUCCCGUGGACAUCUUCUUCCCAGAUUUUUCCUUUUAAGUUUCUUGGUCAGCCUUUUGUUAGCUCCACCUGGUAACGCUGCCUCAGGCAGCCACAGGGUUAAUCAGUUGCCACUGAUUAUUCUGCAGGAAGGGCUGUUUUCAGAGUGAGCUCUGAGUUAAGUCAAAUAAAGAUAGGUCCUGAAAAUGGAGCUUUUCAGUGAGUUGCCAGACAAGACAAAUAGAGGCAGUUCUCUAGUAGUGGAGAUCUGGGGGACCUCCAAAUCUAUUCUGUCUCCUCCAGUGGCUACUAGGUUGCUGAUUUUCACAGAUACUAAGAGGGCUGUUGGUUUUCAAGUUACCAUGGAUUAAGAGAGAAGGGCAUGGGAUUAGGGCAACUUAAAAUGCCACUUUCUGCUCUGAGAUUCAGCUGUUUUCCUUUAAUAAACACACCUCAGUUUGUCGCUAUCCAUUAGUUAAUUUCCAAAGUUCUGAAAAAGUUGAUUUUGACAUUUUUGCCAGUCUUAUUGCUUUUAUGAAGAAGCAGAUUUUGGAUGGCUUUUACUCCACCCUUAUGGAAGUAGAAAUCCUUUAGAUAUUAAAAUUAUAAAUUUGUACAGAUCCUUUGGAUUCAAUCAACACCAAGGGGUUCUUUUUAUGGCCUCCUUUCCUGAUAUGCAAACACCUUUUUCCAACAGUGAGAAACUCAGUUCGUAUUAUCUACAACACAGGUAUGUAUUUGUUUGACUUUAGUAUGUACAUAAAAAUUUCGAAAUUGCUAACCCACACCCCUGUGAGAAACACAUUUUCUUGAGUUACUUUUUAAAAAGAUCACUGGCUGCUGUGUUGAGAACUACAGGGAGCAGGCCCCAAAUCAGUGGGAGCAGUUACGUGGUUACUCAGAUUAUUCAGGUUAGAGAUGGCAGUGGCUUGGACCAGAGCAAUGAUGGUUUAGAUCAGGGGUCCCCAACCCCCGGGCUGCAGACCAUUACCUGUCCUCAGCCUGUUAGGAACAGAGUCGCACAACAGGAGGUGAGUGACAGGUGAGGGAGCAUUACCGCCUGAGCUCUACCUCCUAUCAGAUUGGUGGUGGCAUUAGAUUCUCACGGGAGUGCAAACUCUAUUGUGAAUUUGCACGUGAGGGAUCUAGGUUGCGUGCUCCUUAUGAGAAUCUGACUAAUGCCUGAUGAUCUGAGAUGGAACAGUUUCAUCCCGAAACCAUCCCCCUCACCCCACCCGUCCAUGGAAAAAUUGUCUUCCACUAAAUCGGUCUCUGGUGCCAAAAUGGUUGGGGACUGCUGGUUUAAAUGGUGAGGCAUGGUCAGAUUCCGGAUGUUUUGAAAAUUGAACCCAUAGUAUUAAACUGACGAAUUAGAUAUAAGAUGUAAGAUAAAGAAUCAAGGAUAAUGCCAAUUUUUGCCUGAGCAAUUGGAAUAAUGGAGUUGCCAUUAACAGAAGAGAUUCAAGUUCUGGGAGAAAGACUGGUUUUGGUCAUUUUAAGUUUUAGACGUUUAUUAGAUAUUCAAGUGCAGAUAGAUGCCCAGUUAUCCACAGGCAGCUGAAUAUAUCAGUCAAGCAUUUAGGAGAGAUCUGGAUUGGACACAAACAUUUAUGAGUUAUCAGUGUAUAGAUGGUGGUUGUAGGAGUGGUCAGUGCCCUGCCUAUAUCCUAUGAUCCUAGGAACUGCCAGUGUGCUCCUGCCAACUUUCAGCUGCUGCUGCUUUUUUUUUUUUUUUUUUUUUGUCUUUUUAGACAGGGUCUCACUCUGCCACCCACCCAGGCUGGGGUGCAGUGGCACAAAUCACAGCUCACUGCAGCCUUGAACCCUCAGACUCCAGGGAUCCUAUCUCAGCCAAGUAGCUGAGACUACAGGUGUGCACCACCAUGCCUUGCUAAUUUUUUAAAAAUUUUAUGUAAAGAUGGGAUGUCACUAUGUUGCUCAGACUUUCUUUUUAAACUGUGGAAAGCAGCUGUGUCGGUACACAUGGCAAGCCAGUAACUAACAUGUGCUAGAAUAGCCUUCACUCAGUAACCCUGGCAAGUUGUUAUAUAAAUACUCCAGGUCUCUUGCCCCUUAGGUGGGAUAAUUCUGAGGUAUAUAUUUUGCCAAACUCCCCAGAGUCUCCCUGGGGCACCAAACUCUAAUUGCCCACUUACCGUAGCUGGCUUACUGUGAAAAAGCCAUAGAAUCAAUGGAUUGAAAUCUCAGUGGGGUCAAAGAAUUGCUGGGGUUGAGGACCACAGGAAAAUUGUAGACACCAUGGGGUUAUUGGAGAGUGAGAUGCUUAAAACUGAGAUUUUGGAGGGGUGCAGUUAUUGUUAUUAAAAGGACGGGGCUCUAGAAUAAGACCAUAGAACUGAGUAUCUUCUCACUGGAGGAAACAAAAAGGGGCUGAGGGAGGCCAAGGUAGGCAGAUCACUUGAGGCCAGACGUUCAAGACCAGCCUGGCCAACAAGGCGAAACCCUGUCUCUACUAAAAUACAAAAAUUAGCCUGGUGUGGUGGUACAUGCCUGUAAUCCUAGCUACUUGGGAGGCUGAGGCAGGAGGAUUGCUUGUAUCAGGGAGGCAGAGGUUGCAGUGAGCUGAGAUGGUGCCAUUGCACUCCAGCCUGGGUGACAGAGCAAGACUCCACCUCAAAAAAUAAAAAAGACUGAGAGGCCAAGGAGUUGUAUUAGACCAUCACUUGGAUAUUGAAAUCAGCAAUGAUUAUUAGUAAUGGGGUGACACUGAACCGGGAGCUAAACUCUUCAACAAAUAAGAGGGAGUGACCAAGCUGGGAAUGAAAGAUAACUGCAACAAGAGUGAAAUGAAGACAGCUUUUUCUUGAACACUUACACAGUAUUUAGUAGGUGGCAAGCAGUUCUAAGCAGUUUGUAAAUAAUGUCAUUCAAUCUUCAUAA
rnacentral:lncRNA from 10 species